rnacentral:tRNA from 1 species
AUUCUAUUAGUAUAUAGGUAUAUUUAACUUCCAAUUAAAAGGAUUAAUUCUUAAAUAGAAUA